rnacentral:lncRNA from 1 species
UCGAAGGUAACAUGUGCAUUGAGGGUAACAGGUGCAUUGGAGGUAACAGGUGCAUUGAAGGUAACAGAAGCAUUGAAGGUAACAGGUGCAUUGAAGGUAACAGGAGCAUUGAAGGUAACAGGAGUACUGAUGGUAAGGGGUGCAUUGAAGGUAACAGGUGUAUUGAAGGUAAGAGGUGCAUUGAAGAUAACAGUUGCAUUAAAGGUACUGGGUACUGCAAAAGUACUUGGAGGAUGCUGAGAAGGAAAGAAAGAUGGGAAAAGGUACCUCAAUGCAUCAGAAAAGAACAUGUUCAUAUAGUUCCUAUACCAGAUGACGCGCCUUAUGCCAAGAGAAAUGCCCUCGUGAGUUGUUAGGUGGUAAAAGACUAAAGAACAAGUUCUGUUAAAGGACAUGAUCAGCAUAGGCCAAUGCGGCAGUGCUGAGGAUCUUGUUGAUGACUUGGUCUUAGUCGCUUGCUGUAGAGGCAUGGAGUGUCGACACAAAGGGCACACCCAACGCCUCUUGAGCCAGGGGACAAUGCAAUCUCGGUGAUAGAGAUGCAAGCAGGGCAAGCGAAUAAUUGUCUGCUGCUCAUCUUUAUCAAUCCCUCCUCGAAAGUGAUCAAGGUCCUCUGUACAAAUAGCACAGGGUGUGUUUCCCUCCAAACUAUCAAACCUCACUUUCUCCAACCCCUCGAUAUAUGAUUCGACGGAGUUUGGGCAAUGAAUAAUGAGACGCCUUAUCCACACAACAAGGGGCAAUCCAGGGUCGGCCAAGUCAAGCACCUCACACACAUGUUUGAUAAUUUUUGGGUGCUCAUGUUCAGGGAUUUGCAAGCUCCUAAGAUAAGCAGACAUGAUCUUUGUAUAAGCAGCCCUUUUGGGUUGGAACCGGAAAUCAGUGACAGGGACUUGAAACCGUCUUUCAGUUACCCAACUCCAUUCGCCAUAACACUUGUCGUUGGGCCCAUAGUAAGUUACUGUUUGGUCGUAGAGCUUGAAUGUGAUGGGAACCAUGUCGAAGCCCGAUGGGUCAACAAAUUGGCGACAGAAAUGGAUUAGCUUCAAGAGGCGAAAACGGAUAGGGGCAGUCAUCGUUCUGAUGAUCCAAAGUCUCUUACCGAAUCGAGCAAGACUCUUAGCGAAUCCAUCACCGCCAUAGAAUUGAAUUGCGAGGCAUAAAUACAUUGGAUUACGCUCGGCGGUGGACAUUGUGUGAUGCUAACAGUUUGAUACAGUUGAAAAUCAAUGUGCAUAUACAACAAUACAUAUAGAAAUCAAUCACGAAAACACAAACAAUUUGACAUUAUCUGAGAGAUAGACUUACAUGUCCGAUUGCUUGAGCUCCUGUUGGAAUUUCCAAUCCAAUCUAGGGUUUCUCCGAAAGAGGGGCGAGCAGAACUCUUUUGUUUUCUAAGAGUGGAGAAGAAGAAGCUGGACUUUUUUAUACGCCGACCCUGCUGAUCACGUGGUCACUUAAGUGUCAAAGGGCCCCACUGCAGCCCAAUCCAAACAAACAAAGGAGAUGAUCAUCCACAGUCUGAAGAUUGGAACGCUCCAGAAAACAGUUGCUGAAAUUUGUAAGUGCAUCUCUGCUUGCUACAUUCGAUUUGUGGCAAGAGCCUUGAUCACUUUUACAAUGCAGGAGAAGGGAUUACUCGCUUGCUCUGUUUGAGGCUGAGUCCUGCGCAUGUCUGCCCCACCUGCUCUCACCAACUCCGUAUUGUGAAUGCGCCAACAAAACCCUCAGAGGAGCCGUUUAGGGCUUGGCCUAUGUUGCUCAUGGUGUCAGCACACUCUGUAUUAACUGGUGUGCUUAUUGGCAGACUGUUUUUGAAGAGAUAGGACUCUUCUCAUUCAUGCCUUGUUUUAGACAAAUAGAACUAUAUAUGAUACAUAUUAUUGAUUACAACGGUCAAUCUAGCCAUGAGUUCUUCUAAUUGAUUACAACGCACCUGAUCAGCAUUGUAUAUAUAUAUAUAGCCCUUCUUGGCUGCGGAUGUCAGCACCAAAGUUUUUGGUGCGGAUUUCCAUUUUUUGCACCACUUCCUGAUCGAAUUUCCUCAAACUUCCUUCUAGACAUAUCUAGAUCAUUUUGUGUAGAUCAUCUCUGCAAAAUUUCAGCCAAUUUGGUGAUCGUUAAGGCCCUCAAACUUGCGUUUUUCUAUUAUAUACCUGAACCGGACAUAAUACAGGCCGUCGAUUUGUUUUUCGAUUUUGAGGGCCUUAACGAUCACUAAAUUGGCUGAAAUUUUGCAGAGAUGAUCUACACAAGAUGAUCUAGAUAUGUCUAGAAGGAAGUUUGAGGAAAUUUUAUCGAGAAGUGGUGCAAAAAUGGAAAUCCGCAUCUGAUCAGCAUUGUGUGUGUGUGUGUGUAUAUAUAUAUAUAUAUACUAGUCCUUUCUACACGUGUGUUGCGCAUGUAGGAAAAACCGCUCUCACGCGUGCGAUUCAUUGUUUUCACUGUGUGUAUGUCACUUUGUUAGUGCACAUAAAUAUUCCUACAUCAUUUUUGAUCUUAUAUGGUUAUGAGCUAAGAGACAUUAAGUGAGAAGAUGUCAAAGUAUGCCAAGAACUAUUAUCGGUUAAGUACAACGUGAUUUACAACAACUUCUUUUUGACAUGAAUAUCAUUUUGCAGUGUUGAAAAGAAAACCAACCAUUCUGCAUAAUCUAUACCGAUUGUCUCAAGCUGCUUAUAUUUCUGUUGAGGUUAACUGCAAUUUUGCUCCUUAUACAAACGAAGCUAUUGGGAAACUUUAAAGGCCUCGAUUACAAACCCUAUGAAGUUGCUGGAGAUCGUAGUUCCUAGUUCUGACCUGGAGAAGCUGAAAAAUUAAAGAAAGAUCGAGUAUCAGUAAUUAACCUAUAGCUAUGUUUCAUUGUUUCUAAUGCACCAGAGACUCAUCAACUCUAGGAACAGAAUGCACCAGAGACUCAUCAACUCUGGAAGCACAAACCACAUGCACAAACCACAGGAGACUCAUCAACUCUGGGUUCAGAAUCCGCAGAUGGAGACUCAUCAACUCUGGGAGCAGAAACCACAGAGACUCAUCAACUAUGUGAGAAGAAUCCGCAGAUGGAGACUCAUCAACUAUGUGAGCAGAAUCCGCAGAUGGAGACUCAUCAACUCUGGGAACAGACUGCAUCGGAGACUCAUCAACUCUAGGAGCAGAAACCACACGAGACUCAUCAACUCCAUGAGCAGAAUCCGCAGAUGGAGACUCAUUAUCAUUUCUCGGACCAGGCACAUUGAAGGUAACAGGUGCAUCGAAGGUAACAUGUGCAUUGAAGGUAACAGGUGCAUUGGAGGUAACAGGUGCAUUGAAGGUAACAGGAGCAUUGAAGGUAACAGGAGUACUGAUGGUAAGGGGUGCAUUGAAGGUAACAGGUGUAUUGAAGGUAAGAGGUGCAUUGAAGGUAACAGUUGCAUUAAAGGUACUGGGUACUGCAAAAGUACUUGGAGGAUACUGAGAAGGAAAGAAAGAUGGGAAAAGGUACCUCAAUGCAUCAGAAAAGAACAUGUUCAUAUAGUUCUUAUACCAGAUGACGCGCCUUAUGCCAAGAGAGAUGCCCUCGUGAGUUAAAAUGAUAGACAAGGCAUGAGUGAUGUAAACUGCAAAAAAUUGCAUUUCAGGUGAGAGUCUUGAGAAAUGAUAAUAUAUAAAACCGGAGCCAGGAGAUCAAGACCCUUAAGAAGCCACUUGAAUGAGGAACAGCCAAGAAGGAGUCCACAUGACGGUUAAUCCAGCGGGCAUUUCCCCUCAAUAGUGAAAAAGUGGGCGAGGAAGAAGACGGAAUAAUAGAUAGGAGGUCAACAGAACCAGCUUCAAACGAUGACAAUGUGACACCAGUGUAGUACCCGAAACCGACAGCGAUUCCAAUUCCAACAAGAGGGAUCAAAAGUCGCAGAAAAGUAGGCCUAAAACGAGAAAGAGGCCUGCAUUCAAAGAAAACAUAUGAACAAUUGACAACAAGUAGUUGCAGAUAGAAAAUUCAAACACAAGAGAACAUCAUCAAUAUAUAUCAACUUACCCCAUCAGAGCACCCUGCCCCUUGUUAGCCUUCCCUGUCAUAACCUCCUUGUUAAGUGGCUUAUCCUUAUCCUGUUUCAUCUGAACCUCACUGUGUAACAUCCUAUCAUCAGCCGCAAUCUCGCCAACAGGGGAAACAUCUUGCUUCUUCUCCACAACAGGGCUUUCAUCUUGCUUUGUAUCCUCACCAGAGCCAUCAACUUGCUCUAUAUCCUCAACAGAGCCUACAGCUAGCACCAUCUGCUCAGAAUGGCCUUCAUCCUGAUUAAUCUUCCCCUGCUUGUCACCUUCAUUUGCAUAAUCUUUCUUCUCCAUAUCCUAACAAGAAGUAUUCAUAAGAAAUUCAUCAUGGAAACAUAAUCAAUUAGCUGCUUACAAAAUGUCAUUUUAGAAAUUCCUUAAACACCAACAAACAUCUACAUAUAUUCCUCUUUCAAGACCCUGAGUGUAUUAGAUAACAUGUUCGCCACUCUAUGUAGUCCUCCUGCAAAUCUAAUCCUCACACACCAAAACAAGGCCAAACUUUUUCCACACGAUUUAAAGCAAUCCGUUACAAUACAUUUAGUCAGAAAACAAAAUCUGAGUUCUCAGUCGGCAAACACAAUCAAAAUAUACAGUUUACUUCUCUUCUAUAUCCUGACACAACCUAAGUUCAUACUAAUAAAGAGUGUAGUUACAGACUAGGGAACAGCACAAACAUAAAAAGUGCGGUUAUAACCAGCAAUUGAAGACAACAUACAUGGUUUUAACCAGUUAUAACAGGUGUAUCUGACCUUCAUCACUGUUCUUCUUUUCCAUUUCCUAAGACAACAUACAUAUCAAAUUAAAUGUUGCUUUAAUUCAAUUAUAACAUCAUGUACAAACCAGUUGACGACAAAAAGUGUAUUUUCUGAAUAGAGCAUAGGUCUUCAAAAAUGGAGCAACUCAACUCAGCAGUACACUACCACGUCAAUACUCACAAAUCAAUAUCUAAAAGAAAAGAAACUAACAUCUACAGUACGUACAUCUUCCAAAUUUGAAGACUAAUACAAUGAAAUUGACCUCAGGUUCAAGAAAACAACUAAGAAAUGGGGUUAUAGAGACCAAAAUAACAGAUCUACCAACCCAUUAGAAGACACACAAAAAAUACAUCACAAUUAUGUCCUGUGCUAUGAUAAGCUAAUAGCGGUUUUUACCGCGCACUCCAUUCAUUGAAACCAAGCUUCUGAGUUAUGAACCUUACUUGUUAUUAAGUUCGAAAUCUUCGCUUAUCCUACUAAUGUUUUCAAAAAAAAAAUAAUGGAUUACUCAAAUACUAAAUUCCAGCUGUGGUUCUUGUACAUCUUUUUGGUUUCAGUCUUGAAACUACCUAUCAUAAUUCUAUUCCAAAUUUCCUUCCAGGUCUCCUGUAAACUUCAUCUU